AACAAAAAGACCCAUCCUCGUCUCAAUCCUGUGGUUUUCAAUUCUUUCUUUGUGCCGUACUAUUCACUUUGCUUCUUCGCGUUUCCUCAAUCAAUCAAAUACUAGGAAUGAUGAGUAAUGAAGAAGAGAAGAGGUGUCCUUUGUGUGCUGAAGAGAUGGAUUGGACUGAUCAACAGUUGAAGCCCUGCAAAUGUGGUUAUGAGGUGUGUGUUUGGUGUUGGCAUCACAUAAUGGACAUGGCAGAGAAGGGUGCAACAGAGGGACUAUGUCCUGCAUGCCGAACACCUUACGACAAGAGUAGAAUCGUCGGGUUAAAAUCAAAUAUUCAGAGGGUGGCUGCCAAUAAUUCUAGUCGAAAACAAAAGCAACCGAAGGCCAAGCAAAGACCGAACGAAGUAAAGAAAGACCUUAGCAAUGUACGCGUUAUUCAGCGAAGAAUGGCGUAUAUCAUCGGGCUGCCUAUUAGUCUAGCCGAUGAAGACUUAUUGCAGCGAAAAGAUUAUUUUGGGCGGUACGGGAAAGUUACCAAGGUUUCUCUUUCUCGGACAGCGGGUGGGACCGUUCAACAGUUUGUCAAUGAUACUUGUAGUGUAUAUAUUACGUACUCAAAGGAGGAAGAAGCGGUGAGGUGUAUUCAAUCUGUGCAUGGCUAUGUACUGGAUGGUAGGUUUUUAAGAGCAUCAUUUGGGACAGCAAAGUAUUGUCAUGCAUGGUUAAGGAAUACGCCCUGCAACAAUGUUGCGUGUUUAUAUUUGCAUAGUAUUGGUGCCGAAGAAGAUAGUUUUGGCAAAGAUGAGAUAGCCGCAGUUCAUACUAGGAAUAGAGUUCAAGAAAUUGUUGGUGCCACUGAGUAUUUGCAUAAACGAUCCGGAAGUACAUUGCCAUCCCCGGUAGAUGAACACUCAAAUAGCCGCAGUGCUUCGGCUCAGGAACCUGUUUUUAGCCGGUGCCAAGAAGAUGUAGCGUAUGCUGCAGUAGCUUCUGGCGAUCAUUUGUUUUGUUCUAAGGACAAAGACGGAGCAAUAAAACUGUCAAAACAUACGACAAGUUUUGUAGAUAUUGUUGGACGGUCGUAUAAUUCAGGUUCAGAUAAAGAUACCAGUUCUUCAGUAUCCGAAGGGCCGAUGCUAAACAUAUGUUCCGAUAUGUCCUCUGUAUGCGUCAAUAGGAGUAAUCAUGAUAACGCUGAAGGUUCACAUUUAGUGUCACCAAAAUCAUCAACGAGCAAGUUGUAUAGCGAGCCUUUUCGGGAAGCUUCUAGAUUACCGUCAGUAGAACUAGAUGAUCUAACCCUUAAGGACACUAACAUUACAAAAGAGCAAUCAUGUUUGAAUCCCGUUGGGGUUGUUAAGACCUAUAGUGACGAUGCUUGGUGGCAUACGGAGUCAAGUAGUCGAAACGGUUAUGGUGUAAAUAACAAUGCAAAUUCUUUAUUAAGCAAUGGAUACGAUAGGAUAUAUGGAGGGUCUAAAUCUUUUUUUAGUGAAGAAAUAGUAGAGCACUUGAGACGGCUUGACGAUAGUAGUCUUGCGGAUGAUGACGAAAAUUCGGCUGCUGUGGAAAACAGUAUAAUAUCGAAUAUACUAUCCUUGGAUUUUGAUGGGUGUGAAGAUUCGGUUUUGCCUCGAACUGUAACUGGAUUGUUUGAAGGGAAAGAUGGACGACAUGGUUCUUCGUGGAGUUUUCAAAAUAGUGAUCACUCAAGAUUUUCUUUUGCAAAUGAAGAUUCCGUUGAGAACCAGGACCGUGCCUAUAAGCCCCACUAUCAAGGGACGAAAACAGUAAUUAACUCAUAAUUCUUUCUAAAUUACGAUUGUUUUGUAAUGAAAGCACCUCGGGUUCAGAGCGUGAUACCACCGGGGUUCUCCAAACCCCCUCCCGGGUUUUCCUCGGGUGUGAGAAGUGAGCCGGUUGUUUCUGCGAGUUCCGGAACUUAUGUGAAGAAUUCUUUACCGAACAAUCAUUAUCGUAUGCCAUCGAUAGGGAGUUUAAGCAACAGUAGUGAUGAUCUAAUCGAUCCUGCCAUAAUGGCUGUCGGAAGAGGCAAUUCAUCAUCUUAUGACACCAGAUCAAGCUCAUUUAAUGAAGAGACAAAGCUCUGGCUCUUGAUGCAACAGCAACAACAAUCUGCUUCGGCCACACACCAUGAUCACGACCCUCGAACAUCCUUCAUGCAACAACACAUUUCACCCCGGUUUCCUUCACGAGAUGAUUAUUAUAAAGAUCUCACUUCCAGACUAGUGGACCAAAGCUACACACAGCAACAGUACUCGCAUCCCAAGUUUUCAAAUGGUCAUAUAACAAACGGGUAUCGGCAAUUGCACUUGGAUGGGGCUCAACAAGUUAACACUAGAAAUGAAGUCGGAGGCUUGCAGGCACGAAUUCAUGGGAAUGGGAGAUUCGGGUUGGAGAAAUUACUGCCGGGGUAUGGUGAUUAUAAGUUUCAGAUGCCGAGUUCUGGCGAUGUAUACACUCGGGUAUUUGGAAUGUAAAUUAUCUCUGGUUGUGUUUUCAAAAGAAAAAAAAUUAUUGGGUGCUUGUCAUUCGACAUGCUUUCGGUUUUGGCUUUGAGUUUCCAUAUUAUGUCAAACAAGU